ACAAUGGUGGAGCUAAUAUGGUGAGUGCAAUAAUUUACCAUGUUUAUUUGAGACAUGGCUAUUGUUUGAAAGAGUACGUUUAAGUUAAUUAAUGGUAUAAAUACAAAAAGGGAUGAAUAUACUUCUGUUCUAUCUAGGCUGAGAGUCCUCUUAAUGACUGUCUUGUUUUGGAGGGAACAAGAAAUAGAAGAGAUGCUUUGGAAGUAAAAGUUGUCAAUGACAAGCCUGACAUCACCCAGAUGAUAAUUCAAAGGCCAGCUUGUUUUACAGUAAACCAGGAUGCAGCUGACAAGACAGACUCCAGUAUGAAUCCUCAGCGUUGAUCAAGAAAGCCCACAGCUCAAAACCCAUCUAGAGUGGAAAUCAUCUUGGAAGAAAAUUUUGUAAUGGAUGGACUGACCGAUCUCAGGCCUUCUGUGUCCAUUGUUUUCAGACUGAUUUAUGCCCUGCACCUGGACUAAGUGUAUGAAAAGCACUUUAUAUUUUAUUCAGCAGGUAAUGCUCAACCUCAGAAAAGGUGAGUUAGCACCUAAAAUUCAGUACUGCCAAAAUUGUGAACUGAGAGUGGAAUAAAACCAUAAAAAGUUUGUUAAACUAGUGUUUUCAUGUUUUAUGUGGAAACGUUUU